CUCAACUUUGAUUUUGUACAAUUUGGUCCUCAGAUUUUGACUUCCAUUUCGAUUUUGACCUCCAUAAAUUGCAUCCCAAAUCCCCACUUUUUGACUUGUUUGCCUUGGCCUCCAACUUCACAAUUUUGUACAAUUUUAGUCAUUUUCCUCAUUUUUCCUCAUUUUGCCUUGUUUUCUUUCCUUUGGGUGAUUUUUACGUACAAAAGUAAAUAUUACUUAACUAUGAGUAGAAUUUCAUUCUUUUCAUUAAUAAUUAUAUCAAAUUAAGUGCCCAAUAAGUGUGCAAAAACACACUUAUCACACCCCCAAACUUAAACUCUUGCUCGUCUCGAGCAAGAUUAUCUAUCACACAAGCAAGCAAACGUGAU
rnacentral:lncRNA from 1 species